CCGCCAUGUUUGUGGCGUGUGCGCUGCUCAUAAACACAUGUUGAAUGCUACGUUUUCCUGAAGGCAGUUCUACAUGACAGUCGAUUAACCAGGCACGUCCAGAUGUUGGCUAGACACCUUCAGUCAGUGACCACGCAUGAAAUCGGCGGCCAGGAACAUUCAGUUUGUGGCCAGGCAAUCAUUCUUUCAUGUGGGAUGCGGGAUGCUCACUCACAAUCGCAAGAGGAUGGCUUCGCUAGACAUCAAGGAGAAGGAAGUUGCAUGAUAGUGUUUCUUGUUUCUAAGGCAUAGAAGUCAACUCAGUAAUGAAUCUUUUUUUUGUCUAAAGUCCACCUGAUAAAAUAUUUAAGUGUGAUAUGGUAACAGUAACUGAUCAAUUGAACAAAACUCUAAAAAAACAAAAUUGGAACUACUAAACAUGGAGAAAAAUGUUUGACUGAUUGUGUAGUAUCAAUUUUUAUCUGGUGCAGACACUGUUUCAAAUUUAAUUUAUUGUAUUCUACUUUUCUUUUAGUGACAAUAAAAUUAAUAUGACA